rnacentral:rRNA from 1 species
UACGGAGGGUGCAAGCGUUGUCCGGAAUCACUGGGCGUAAAGGGCGCGUAGGCGGCCUGGUAAGUAGGGGGGUGAAAUCCUGCGGCUUAACCGCAGGGCUGCCUUCUAAACUGUCAGGCUUGAGCACGGUAGAGGCAGAUGGAAUUCCCGGUGUAGCGGUGGAAUGCGUAGAGAUCGGGAAGAACAUCAGUGGCGAAGGCGGUCUGCUGGGCCGUUGCUGACGCUGAGGCGCGACAGCGU